UUGAAGAGUUUGAUCAUGGCUCAGAUUGAACGCUGGCGGCAGGCCUAACACAUGCAAGUCGAGCGGUAGCACAGAGAGCUUGCUCUCGGGUGACGAGCGGCGGACGGGUGAGUAAUGUCUGGGAAACUGCCUGAUGGAGGGGGAUAACUACUGGAAACGGUAGCUAAUACCGCAUAAUGUCGCAAGACCAAAGUGGGGGACCUUCGGGCCUCAUGCCAUCAGAUGUGCCCAGAUGGGAUUAGCUAGUAGGUGGGGUAACGGCUCACCUAGGCGACGAUCCCUAGCUGGUCUGAGAGGAUGACCAGCCACACUGGAACUGAGACACGGUCCAGACUCCUACGGGAGGCAGCAGUGGGGAAUAUUGCACAAUGGGCGCAAGCCUGAUGCAGCCAUGCCGCGUGUGUGAAGAAGGCCUUCGGGUUGUAAAGCACUUUCAGCGGGGAGGAAGGCGAUAAGGUUAAUAACCUUGUCGAUUGACGUUACCCGCAGAAGAAGCACCGGCUAACUCCGUGCCAGCAGCCGCGGUAAUACGGAGGGUGCAAGCGUUAAUCGGAAUUACUGGGCGUAAAGCGCACGCAGGCGGUCUGUCAAGUCGGAUGUGAAAUCCCCGGGCUCAACCUGGGAACUGCAUUCGAAACUGGCAGGCUAGAGUCUUGUAGAGGGGGGUAGAAUUCCAGGUGUAGCGGUGAAAUGCGUAGAGAUCUGGAGGAAUACCGGUGGCGAAGGCGGCCCCCUGGACAAAGACUGACGCUCAGGUGCGAAAGCGUGGGGAGCAAACAGGAUUAGAUACCCUGGUAGUCCACGCCGUAAACGAUGUCGAUUUGGAGGUUGUGCCCUUGAGGCGUGGCUUCCGGAGCUAACGCGUUAAAUCGACCGCCUGGGGAGUACGGCCGCAAGGUUAAAACUCAAAUGAAUUGACGGGGGCCCGCACAAGCGGUGGAGCAUGUGGUUUAAUUCGAUGCAACGCGAAGAACCUUACCUGGUCUUGACAUCCACAGAACUUUCCAGAGAUGGAUUGGUGCCUUCGGGAACUGUGAGACAGGUGCUGCAUGGCUGUCGUCAGCUCGUGUUGUGAAAUGUUGGGUUAAGUCCCGCAACGAGCGCAACCCUUAUCCUUUGUUGCCAGCGGUUAGGCCGGGAACUCAAAGGAGACUGCCAGUGAUAAACUGGAGGAAGGUGGGGAUGACGUCAAGUCAUCAUGGCCCUUACGACCAGGGCUACACACGUGCUACAAUGGCAUAUACAAAGAGAAGCGACCUCGCGAGAGCAAGCGGACCUCAUAAAGUAUGUCGUAGUCCGGAUUGGAGUCUGCAACUCGACUCCAUGAAGUCGGAAUCGCUAGUAAUCGUAGAUCAGAAUGCUACGGUGAAUACGUUCCCGGGCCUUGUACACACCGCCCGUCACACCAUGGGAGUGGGUUGCAAAAGAAGUAGGUAGCUUAACCUUCGGGAGGGCGCUUACCACUUUGUGAUUCAUGACUGGGGUGAAGUCGUAACAAGGUAACCGUAGGGGAACCUGCGGUUGGAUCACCUCCUU
rnacentral:rRNA from 1 species